rnacentral:rRNA from 1 species
GACGAGCCUCACAAACGUUAUUCGGAAUUACUGGGCUUAAAGGGUGCGUGGGCGGCGCGGAAAGUUGGGUGUGAAAUCCCUCGGCUCAACCGAGGAAUUGCGCUCAAAACUACCGUGCUCGAGGGAGAUAGAGGAGUGCGGAACUUACGGUGGAGCGGUGAAAUGCGUUGAUAUCGUAGGGAACACCGGUGGCGAAAGCGGCACUCUGGAUCUCAUCUGACGCUGAUGCACGAAAGCUAGGGUAGCAAACGGG